rnacentral:rRNA from 1 species
CCUACGGGUGGCAGCAGUCGGGAAUAUUGCUCACUGGGGGAAACCCUGAAGCAGCAACGCCGCGUGGAGGAUGAAGGUUUUCGGAUUGUAAACUCCUUUUGUUAGAGAAGAUAAUGACGGUAUCUAACGAAUAAGCACCGGCUAACUCUGUGCCAGCAGCCGCGGUAAUACGGAGGGUGCAAGCGUUACUCGUAAUCACUGGGCGUAAAGAGCGCGUAGGCGGGAUAGCAAGUCAGAUGUGAAAUCCUAGGGCUUAACCAUAGAACUGCAUUUGAAACUGUUAUUCUAGAGUAUGGGAGGGGGAGGUGGAAUUCUUGGUGUAGGAGUAAAAUCCGUAGAGAUCAAGAGGAAUACUCAUUGCGAAGGCGAGCUGCUAGAACAUAACUGACGCUGAUGCGCGAAGGCGUGGGGAGCAAACGGGAUUAGAUACCCCGGUAGUC